UAGGGAAUAUUGGACAAUGGGCGCAAGCCUGAUCCAGCAAUGCCGCGUGAGUGAUGAAGGCCUUAGGGUUGUAAAGCUCUUUUACCAGAGAUGAUAAUGACAGUAUCUGGGGAAUAAGCCCCGGCUAACUCCGUGCCAGCAGCCGCGGUAAUACGGAGGGGGCUAGCGUUGUUCGGAAUUACUGGGCGUAAAGCGCACGUAGGCGGCGAUUUAAGUCAGAGGUGAAAGCCCGGGGCUCAACCCCGGAACUGCCUUUGAGACUGGAUUGCUUGAAUCCGGGAGAGGUGAGUGGAAUUCCGAGUGUAGAGGUGAAAUUCGUAGAUAUUCGGAAGAACACCAGUGGCGAAGGCGGCUCACUGGACCGGCAUUGACGCUGAGGUGCGAAAGCGUGGGGAGCAAACAGG
rnacentral:rRNA from 1 species